GUCUUUUUAGUAUAAAAAAAUACAAAUAAUUUCCACUUAUUUAUUCUUGGUCUACUCCAAGAAAAGACA
rnacentral:tRNA from 1 species